AAGUUGAUGGUGCAAUUGGAUAAGCACGUGUCCCUAGGAAAGGGUAUAAUGCGGGUUCGAGUCCCGUCUGAGGUCA